UACGUAGGGGGCAAGCGUUGUCCGGAAUUAUUGGGCGUAAAGCGCGCGCAGGCGGUCUCUUAAGUCUGAUGUGAAAGCCCACGGCUCAACCGUGGAGGGUCAUUGGAAACUGGGAGACUUGAGUGUAGGAGAGGAAAGCGGAAUUCCACGUGUAGCGGUGAAAUGCGUAGAGAUGUGGAGGAACACCAGUGACGAAGGCGGCUUUCUGGCCUAUAACUGACGCUGAGGCGCGAAAGCGUGGGGAGCAAACAGG
rnacentral:rRNA from 1 species